rnacentral:lncRNA from 1 species
GCGCCCCGCGCCCCGCGCCCCGCCCGCAGCCGGAAGGAGCGCGCCCCCCCCCCCGCCGGCGCCCCGCACCCCGCGGCCCCCGAGGGAGCGCGCCCGGCCGCGGGAGGCCUUCCCCUCACCUGGCCGGCCGCCGCUCCCUUCCGCCUCGCUCCCCCUGCCGGCCGCGCCGCCAGCACCGCGAGGUAGGAGGCCCGGCGGGGCGCCGGCCUGGGCGGCCGGGAGGGCCCAGCGGCGCGGAGCGGGAGCCGCCCGGGGUCCACCUCCCCCGCCCCGCCGCCCCCCUGCCUGGGGCGCGCAGGGGACGUGGGAGCCGCGUCCUGCAGCGCGGCUGACCGCGAGGUCAGGGCGGCCGUGAGACCAUUCUACAGGCCCUAAGACCGAGGCUGGCCGUCGCGGGGCCCCGGCAGGUACGGGGUGGGGACCAGAAGUCCGGAGGGGGGCGGGGGAAGGGGGCGGGAGGGGCCCGGCGGGGCGGCCUGAGCACCCGCCCGGCGGCAGCCGGUGCUUCCCUCUGGGCCCUGCGCGGGGGUCCCACGUGCGCGCUGGCUGCGCCCCGCACCACCCCGGGGAGUACAGCCUCCCCCACGGCGCCCCAGCAUCUCUGGAGUUUGGCCCGCAGCAAGCCGGGUGUGGAGGUUACCCCCCAGCGCGCGGGAGGCGGCCCCUGAGUCUGGGCUGCCAGGCUCCCGCCCAGCUCCGCCUCCCCAGAGUGCACGUGUCUCCCCCAGGGGAGCGUCACCACAGGCACCCUACCCUUUUGGCAGGACCCCACUGCUCAUCUUCCGUCCCUUGUAAAGGCACAUCCCUGGCGCUGCCGGCGCGGCUGCUAAAUCACUCCGACCCUCUCCAUCCCCAGCCCCCGAGGGACCCGUGCACCCUCGUGUAACUCUGGCCCGCGCGAAGCCCUGGGUCCUCGCGCCCGAGUGCUCCUGAAGACUAGGGCACGCCACCCGCACCCCAGGUGGAUCCGUGCUGGUGCCUCCAGGAGGAUGUGGGCCGGGAACCAGGAGGCCGAGAAGGGAAUCGGGGCCAGUCUGGCCCACACGUGGACAGCAGCGGUGAGCAGCAAGGCCGGUCCAAGCUGUUUCGGUAGGUGGCCUCAAAUGCUUCCACAAGAAGGUGGCACAUGGAUGGGGCUCAGCUCGCUCUGGUCAGCUGGAUCAGGGCUGAGAGCUGGGGAGUCAGCCUGCACUGGUGGGGGAAGGUGGAACUGGCCCCUUCAGCAGAGUGCCCAGAAGGUCCCCGAGGCCUCAGGUGUCGCUGCUCCCCUAAGCACCUCCGACAAGACCAAGACGAC